GGGAAAAAAAAUCCAAAGAAAAUAUCUGCCAUUCGUUUCUUGCACUACGAAUCGAGCGAGGAGCAAAUUACCAUAUCCUCACCUUGCCCAUCUAAGCUGUGCAGCGUCGAUGGACGUCCCCGACGAAACGUCGCCGUUCCCCAUCGGCAGCAGCGAGGGGGCCGCCGCGCCGACGGCGGCGGACGCGUGGGAGGCGGUGGCGCAGCUCCCGGCAGAGGAGCACGGGAGGGGGUGGGAGAUUGUAGCGACCGACGCCUGCACCCAUGACGACUGUUCCAUCUUCCCCCCUACCCUCCACGAGGGGCUCUACCUCCGCUACGACUCACUCCCAGUCCUAGCCCCUCCCAUACCUCCUCAAGAACAGGUUAGGGUCGUCGAGGAGCCGUCAUCUUGGCCCAUGAGGUGCGAAGAGGUGGGAGAGAUGCGACCUACGCGAUGGGGGCCGCUCUCGGAUUCCGCUAGGCGGUUGAUCGGGUCGGGGAUUGAGGUGAUCCGUGCAAAAAUCUCACUUUGUAAAGGAGGAGGAUUAGGUCUUUCGACCGGAAGGGGGGUUUGGUCGUUCAUGGCAGUGGCCGGAUUCGUGGGCGCUUUGAUGUAUAUGAAACGGAGGCACCGGCGGGAGAAGGAGUUGCUUCUUCUCCUACUUUCAGAGAAGGAUCAGAAUCACCAUAUGGCAAGAUUGGCCCACCCUUGCUCUCAGGCGAUACUCCUAUCAGGUUAAUGCUUGUUUAUGCAUUAGAGAUGCUCCUAAUCGUCGUGUACAAAUAAGUAAAAGAAAGAAAUGAUUGUUUGGUACUUGAUGCUUGUAGAUUGCAGAAGCAUUAGCAGAUUAUUUACUUAGUAAAAGAGGAUACGGGAGUUGUUGAAUCAAAUUGCUCUGAUGAAUCAUAUCAUAGCUGCGGGUUACCGAAUACCUGUUACGAAGCGUACAUGAAAUCUUUAUGGC